UAAAGUGGCGACCGGGUGAGUAACACGUGACCAACCUACCUUUCAGUGGGGGGAUAACCUCGGGAAACCGGGACUAAUACCGCAUAACAUCUUUGAGUUGGAAUACUCGAAAAUCAAAGGAGCAAUUCGCUGAAAGAGGGGGUCGCGGCCGAUUAGCUAGUUGGCGGGGUAAUGGCCCACCAAGGCGAUGAUCGGUAGCCGGCCUGAGAGGGCGCACGGCCACACUGGAACUGAAACACGGUCCAG
rnacentral:rRNA from 1 species